CCAGUAAAGGUUAAAAAAUUAAGUCUAUUUUCAUUGAAUUUAUUCUCCCUCCCACUUUUUGUUGUAAAAUAUUCCCUCCCUCCAAAUUGCAAAUAGAUCUUCUCUGCUAUAACAAGCCGUAAAAUUGAGCAAACCCCUCUCUCUCUCUUUCUAUCAUCGUUGUCAGCGCCUAACUCAUCUCUCUCACCAUCACCGACCACCAUCACCAGGUAAUCUCUCGAUUUUUUUCUUUUUGAUUUUGAUGACCCUCUACUCAUGAAAUGCAAAGCAAAAGUGCAUAAAUAUUAAUUUUGUAUUGGUAGUGAGCGCGGUAGAAGGUGUUCCUUAUUUAGGUCCUUAUGCCGAUUAGAUUAAAUACAUAUUUGAUCGAUCCUGAAGAACUAGGGUUUCUCUGCUAGUCACGGCUUUUUUGUUCAUUUCUCUGUACUUUCGACCUUAUUUGUUUCUUCUUCCUUUGAUGGUUGGCCUCACUAAAUAUCAGUUUUUUUCUCUCAAGAACCUCUAUUGGAAAGGUUCAAUGUAGACUUAACCUAAGUUUGAUCCAUAAUUUUUAUGCGGAAUUGUGAAAAAGAAAGUAAAAUUUAAGGUGCAUUCUGGUGAAUUGGGUCUUGUGAAAAAAUGGAGAUUUCAUUUGGUAAUUAGAAUUGCAAUAUGGGUAUGUUUCUCAAGUUCUGUUGAAGGCAGACACAUUUUAUGUAAAAUCAAAUUGAUAUGCAUUUAAACUGAUUGUAGUGAGUAUAAUUUAAUUACUAAUAUUUUAUUUAUAAUAAGUGCAGGAGAGUUCACAAUAUUGAGAUGUUUCUUAUGUCUUUACAUUGUGUUGUCUUGUCCCAUACUCUAUUAAAGUAAAUUUCCACUUUCUGUUGAUAAUUGAGAUUAUAGAAAAUAUAGUAGCUGAUUUCUUUUGAAUUACAUUUCUAGUUCUUUAUUAUGUCUUUGUAUUGAGAACUUGUUCUUGAUAUAAUAAUGUUAUGCAUCUGAUAAAAGAUGUUCAAUCAUUUGCAGUAACAUGAAUUGAUUUAUGUAUGAGAGAACAUUGUCUAUCCAAUAUGUUUUUAAGUUAUUUAAACAGUUCAUUAUAUUAUUCGUUAGAUGUGAAUUGUUUACGGACUAAAUUUGCUUCACUUACUUAUUCAUGUUAAUUAAAUGUUUACCUUAUUUUGAGUUGAAACAUUCUUGGUUAUAUUCCCAAGUUGUCUCAUAGAGGGAAGAAUUAGAAGUGAAUUUCGUAUGAAGUUCUUAAAUAUUGAAGGCUGAAACCUUAUUACUCUAUUUUUUACUGCCAGAUUGUUCUUAUAAUCGAAAACUAAAAUGUUCUAUCCACCUUGUUCUAUUUAUGUGCAUGCGACUAAACUUUCAAGAUAUAUAUAUAUAUAUAUAUAUAUAUAUAUAUAUAUAUAUNNNNNNNNNNNNNNNNNAGUACCUUUUUUCUUAUUAAACAAUUUAAUUGGUAUCUUCUGUGCGCAAUAUUAAUAUUCAUCAUAUAUCAAGCCAAAUUAUUAAGCAUCAUAUGUCCAAACUAUUGAAGCAAGUUAACUGAUGCAUCACUGUACGUAUCAGUUCUGUUGAGAUAGAAGAUAUUUUUCCAAUUUUAUUAUCUUUAAACUGUUGGUGUAAGUUAUUGAUGGAAGGUAUACCAAUUUUAGUUUACAUUAGAUUUCAUAUUUUGACAUUCAUUUUAUUUCCACUUAUAGCUAUUUCUUUGUUCUUGUGAUACCAUUAUUUUUUUCUAUGGGCGAUGGUACUGAUAUAUUGUAUUUUUUCGUCUUCUUGAGCUGAGGGUCUUUCGAAAACAGUCCCUCUAUCCCUCGGGGUAGGGGUAAGGUCUGUGUACACACUACCCUUCCCAGACCCCAACAGUGGGAUCUCACUGAAUUGUUGUUGUUGUUGUUGUUAUUGUUGUUCUAGCUAUUUCAUUUCCAAAGUUACAUGUUUUUCUUUUAUUUUGAAAAAAGAGGUAAAAGAAAAUAGUUCUGCGCGUCUACAUUCUUGGCAUGAGAUGAUUAUUUUAUGGUGUUUGCAUUUUUCGAAGGGUGAACAGUCCAAACCAAGUGUUCAAGUACUAGUCUUUUCUGAAUCGAUUACUAAGCUUUAGUACAAAUUCUAAGUCAUUUGGAAUGAAUAACUGGAGUUAUACAUCAUAUGUUUGUUGAGAGUUGCACCUUUCAUGCUAAGUUAUUUGAAUUCUAGUAUUUGUAAACUCUAAAAUAUACUUCUUUGUGUUUGUUUUGUCGAUAAACAUAUCAAAAUUACUAAAAAGAAAAAGGAAUUAUAUGCUUAUAAAAAAUUAACAUGCUAAGCAGAUUUAAAUGCUACAUAUAUUAAAAUUUUCUGAGUUGGAACAAAGCUUACUGAUUAGUAUAUUUUGUUGCAAUGUGCCACUUAGGAAUAUAAAUCUCAAAAUUGGGUAUUGUUAUUGUGCUGAACAAUGGAGUUUAUGUGUAAAUUUUUUCAAAAAGUUGGCAGUGUAGUUACCUGCUCUAUUUCUGAUUCUUUUCUGUUAGAGCUUGUUAAUAGUAUAUAAUAGUUAGGCUUUAAACUCAUACGGUGGCUUUUCAGAUUUAAUCUUAACAUCUAUUAUAACCUUCUAUUGUUAAAACUUCCAUGUAGUUUUCAAUGCCUAGAAGAAAAAUCAAAAGUUUGACUCAGUGGAGUUAAGUAGAUUUAAUUUUCACAUCGUUAUAUGUUUGUGAGGAUAUAAAUCACAAGCUACUGCCUCUUCUUUGAUGUUUCAAUGAGUUCUUUUAAGUGGCUCUAAAAUGUUUCGUGUGUUUACUUUAGUUGUUUGGAGAAUUCUAGGAGUCAAAUUAAUAAUCUACUAACUUAAAUUGUGUAGUGAAUUUUUUCUAGAUUAUAAAAAAUUAUUGCCAUAAAUCUGCUGAUGUAGUCUCAUUGGGAUAGGCACAAAUAUAAAUCCAAUAUUGAUACACUUUGAUAGGCUAGUCAGACAAGUUCUUGGAGCAUUGGAACACUGCCUGAAUUAUAUUUUGAACUGGAGGUAAGAGAUGAUAAACCUGAUGAACAGAAUCAGAGGCUAUCAAAUUUGUGAAUUUGUUCGCAAGACAUAAUGAACUAGAUUUAAUAAAGUUUACGCUUUCUUCUGUAUAUUAAGGUACACUUUUUUCUACUGGUGUAGAGAGAUUGAAUUCGAAAAGUGGUCAGGAAAGCAAGUAGGGUCACAAAGCAGGUGAAGAGAGAUUGGAUUAAUUUGCUCAUUCAAGCUGUGUACUUCUUUUUUGGUGUUGACACUGUAAAAGCUAUGAAUUUGUCAUUUUUGUUUGUAUAUGUAAUAAAUAUUAUUUUGUAGAGUGAAUAUUGUCAUUCUGUUAGAAUGAAUAAAAGUAGAGUAUUUAUUUUAUCA
rnacentral:lncRNA from 1 species